UCUUACAGCCAUACCACACUGUCCACGCCCAAUCUCGUCCGAUCUUGGAAGCUAAGUAGUGUCGGCCCUGGUUAGUACAUGGAUGGGAGACCGCCUGGGAAUACCAGGUGCUGUAAGCU
ensembl:rRNA 5S_rRNA 5S ribosomal RNA